CAGUCGCCGCGGUAAGACGAACCGUGCGAACGUUAUUCGGAAUCACUGGGCUUAAAGCGCGUGUAGGCGGGAGGGCACGUCCGUCGCUGAAAUCCCCCGGCUCAACCGGGGAACGGGCGCGGAUACGACUCUUCUGGAGGAACGUAGGGGGACCUGGAACUUCCGGUGGAGCGGUGAAAUGCGUUGAGAUCGGAAGGAACGCCCGUGGCGAAAGCGAGGUCCUGGACGCUUACUGACGCUCAUGCACGAAAGCGUGGGGAGCAAACAGGAUUAGAUACCCCCGUAGUCCCUGUCUCUUAUU
rnacentral:rRNA from 1 species